ACAUGUGGACCCCCCCACAUGUAUGAUGAACCGGUAAAACUAGAGAAUUACAACAGUAUGUGAGACCUGGGAAAGGUUAUUAUUCUCGUAGGGGCAAUAUUGGAGGCGCGUAGUGAAUCUCCAUACAUAACCCCUGCAUUAUAAUACAGAUCCAGAUCCAGACCCCAAAAAAUCUGCCAAAAUUAGGACUUGAACUACUACUACUACUACUACCAAACAUCUUUCAACUACUACGCUCACAUGCAUACUGACUACUGACUACUACUAGCUCACAUGUUUAAUAAGAGGCAUUCACCUGUGCGCCUUGGGGUCCGGCCAGCAGCUUCUCCCUGUCACAAGAAUCCAGUAGACAUCAUAGUCUCUUCUUGUCUCCUUUAGUCCUGCGUCACUCUCGGUCUGUUCACACGCUCUUGAUCCUCUUAGCCUCCCGCCGUCAUUAUUUCUCGGUUAUGAGGCAUGAAUGGCUUUUGUAUUCGUCACUAUUCGGCUUAUUUACUUGUCACACGAGGCUGGGCAGGUGCACCCCUCCAUUGCCGCGAGGAACACUGGACUUUCUGCGGCUUCCACCUUUCACAUCAACAAAGGUAAAAAAAGGAGAUCAUCAGGUUUUUAUGAGUGCCUUUUCACAAUCAUAGCAUGGUAGAAGGGUCAAACUAACACCAGGGCCAGUAAACUACCCCUGGAAAUGCUCAAAACUCCUACGAAAAGCGUGUCAAAUAUGAUCUUGGUACGAUAGUUUUCUAAUACAAGUCAAGCUUAUCCGUAAAAAUAUAAAAUAAAAACCUCACACCCUAUUUUGUGACGUUUUCAUCUUAACUAUUGAGGUUUAAUGAGCUCUGUAUGUUUAUUUUGAGCCAGUGUUCCAGAGCGAGCACUGAACAAAUUACUGUCUUGUGGCGCAAUGGCUGCUCCUCACAUCAAACUAUUUAUAAAGGCCAAAAAAAAAAGGAUAUCUACCGCGCUCUAAUGCCUUAUUUUGUAGGUUCAUGACACAAAAGAAUGAUCAAACUACCAAGUGUCAUAAAACUACUGCAAAUACCCAAAACUCUUACUACGAAAGCCUUGUCAAAUAUAUGUGUGCUUAGGCGCAAAAAUGUUUAAGGAGAUGACUCAUAACGAGCUAAUUCCAUGAUCAAAUAGUGUCUUUGUAACGGCCUGAACCAAACUAGACAAUCCUAUAUAUACUCCAUAACUGUUAGCUUUUCUACUCGCCACCAGAUGCACAAGAGAUUCCCUGUGUAUAGUUACCUCAGUUUCCUUAACGUAUAUAUAUGAACUCCAAUCAAUAUAGACAGGGAAUUGUCGAAGUCGCUGGUAUUGUUUCGGGAGCUUACUAACGUACCCAUCUUGGCGUUGGCGAACUGUGAAAAUGGCCCUAAUACUAAUAAAUGGCAACUGUUGACCUC